UGUAAAAGUCAAAAGUCCUCUGAAGUCCUCGUCGAAGCCACGCAGAAGCUACGAUAGCAGAGAAACUGAAGCUAAACCGAUGAGACUUACAUUCUUCCAUACUGUCUAGCGGUCAGAAGCCGCAAUUACGAAGUUGUUCAGACCCAGGAUGCACGCUGCUCCACUGCCCUUUCUGCCCAGAGUACAAGGGUGACUAUGCCAGGGUGGAAACGCACAUGCAGAGCCAUUUGAAAACGGUGGUACAUUAUGGAGAAUAUGUGAUCUACAAAUGCAAUUUGGGCUGCAGAAAGGGCAGUAACCACCACUGCGGUUGUGCCUCACCUUUCCCAGGAAGAGUAGCUUUGAAAUCGACAGGAUUGCACAUUUGUUCUCUGCCAAUAAAAGUUGGAAAAAUGCAUGCUUGGUGCUUAACCACAGGCUAUGGGAGGUACUUGGUACAAGAUGUACAAUUUCCAAAGUAGCUCCCAUGGCACACGCACACGCCAACACACACACGCACACACCAACGCACGCACGCACACACACACCAACACACACACAGGCCAAGAUUUUGUUUUACUUUUAUUUAUUUUAUCUUGCAUGGCCUGCAGAAGUUUCUCUUCUGUGUUUGUUCUACAACAAAGUAUUGGCGAAAUCUACAGGAUUGCGCAUUUGCACAUUUGUUCUCUAACAAAAGUUGGGAAAAUGCAUGCUUGGUGCUUAAACUGUUAUGAAACAUGAAAAAAGUUGAUCUCUUCUGGGUUUGUCCUAUAAUAAAGUUUAGGCUACUUUGCAAAUAAA